rnacentral:rRNA from 1 species
CGGGUUGCUGCACCAGUGGGGAAUAUUGCACAAUGGAGGAAACUCUGAUGCAGCAACGCCGCGUGGAGGAUGACACUUUUCGGAGCGUAAACUCCUUUUAUAUAGGAAGAAGAUGACGGUACUAUAUGAAUAAGCGCCGGCUAACUCCGUGCCAGCAGCCGCGGUAAUACGGAGGGCGCAAGCGUUACUCGGAAUCACUGGGCGUAAAGAGCGUGUAGGCGGAUUAAAAAGUCAGAAGUGAAAUCCUAUAGCUUAACUAUAGAACUGCUUCUGAAACUCUUAAUCUAGAAUGUGGGAGAGGUAGAUGGAAUUUCUGGUGUAGGGGUAAAAUCCGUAGAGAUCAGAAGGAAUACCGAUUGCGAAGGCGAUCUACUAGAACAUUAUUGACGCUGAGACGCGAAAGCGUGGGGAGCAAACAGGAUUAGAUACCCCAGUAGUC